rnacentral:rRNA from 1 species
AUACGGAGGGUGCAAGCGUUAAUCGGAAUUACGGGGCGUAAAGCGCGUGUAGGUGGUUAUGUAAGUUGGAUGUGAAAGCCCCGGGCUUAACCUGGGAAUUGCAUUCAAAACUGCAUGGCUAGAGUCUGAUAGAGGGAAGUGGAAUUUCCGGUGUAGCGGUGAAAUGCGUAGAUAUCGGAAGGAACACCAGUGGCGAAGGCGGCUUCCUGGAUCAAGACUGACGCUGAGGUGCGAAAGCGUGGGGAGCAAACAGGAUUAGAAACCCCAGUAGUCC